GAGUUCAAUCCUGGCUCAAGAUGAACGCAGGUGGCAUGCUUAACACAUGCAAGUCAGGCCGAACAUGGUGUUUCUAGUGGCAAACAGGAGAGUAAAGCUUAAGAACCUGCCCUUGGGAGGGAACAAGGGCUGGAAACAACUGCUAAUGCCCCAUAGACUGAGAAGCACGAGGAGAAAUCCAGCCAUGGAGGGGCACACAUCUGACUAGCUAAUUUCUGAGGCAACAACUUAUCAAGGUGAUGAUCAAUAGCCGGUACGAGAGGAUAAUUAGCCACACUAGGACUGAGACAUGGCCCGGAUUUUCGGGAAUUUAAUAUGCUGCAUGAAAGCCUGACAAAGUAAUAUCACAUAUACUGGAAGGGACUUGUCAAAGUACAAAUCUCCAGAAACUUAAGAGUGAAAUAAGGUUAUGGAGAUUUUGUGAGGCCUUAAAUUCCAAAGAUCCUCAACCAUUAGCU
rnacentral:ncRNA from 1 species